rnacentral:rRNA from 1 species
GGGGCUCAAACCACACACCGAAGCUGCGGGUGUCACGUAAGUGACGCGGUAGAGGAGCGUUCUGUAAGCCUGUGAAGGUGAGUUGAGAAGCUUGCUGGAGGUAUCAGAAGUGCGAAUGCUGACAUGAGUAACGACAAUGGGUGUGAAAAACACCCACGCCGAAAGACCAAGGGUUCCUGCGCAACGUUAAUCGACGCAGGGUUAGUCGGUUCCUAAGGCGAGGCUGAAAAGCGUAGUCGAUGGGAAACAGGUUAAUAUUCCUGUACUUCUGGUUACUGCGAUGGAGGGACGGAGAAGGCUAGGCCAGCUUGGCGUUGGUUGUCCAAGUUUAAGGUGGUAGGCUGAAAUCUUAGGUAAAUCCGGGGUUUCAAGGCCGAGAGCUGAUGACGAGUCGUCUUUUAGAUGACGAAGUGGUUGAUGCCAUGCUUCCAAGAAAAGCUUCUAAGCUUCAGGUAACCAGGAACCGUACCCCAAACCGACACAGGUGGUCGGGUAGAGAAUACCAAGGCGCUUGAGAGAACUCGGGUGAAGGAACUAGGCAAAAUGGCACCGUAACUUCGGGAGAAGGUGCGCCGGCUAGGGUGAAGGAUUUACUCCGUAAGCUCUGGCUGGUCGAAGAUACCAGGCCGCUGCGACUGUUUAUUAAAAACACAGCACUCUGCAAACACGAAAGUGGACGUAUAGGGUGUGACGCCUGCCCGGUGCCGGAAGGUUAAUUGAUGGGGUUAGCGCAAGCGAAGCUCUUGAUCGAAGCCCCGGUAAACGGCGGCCGUAACUAUAACGGUCCUAAGGUAGCGAAAUUCCUUGUCGGGUAAGUUCCGACCUGCACGAAUGGCGUAACGAUGGCGGCGCUGUCUCCACCCGAGACUCAGUGAAAUUGAAAUCGCUGUGAAGAUGCAGUGUAUCCGCGGCUAGACGGAAAGACCCCGUGAACCUUUACUGUAGCUUUGCACUGGACUUUGAGCCUGCUUGUGUAGGAUAGGUGGGAGGCUUUGAAGCGUGGACGCCAGUUCGCGUGGAGCCAUCCUUGAAAUACCACCCUGGCAUGCUUGAGGUUCUAACUCUGGUCCGUGAUCCGGAUCGAGGACAGUGUAUGGUGGGCAGUUUGACUGGGGCGG